rnacentral:rRNA from 1 species
UGCCCUAGUAACGGCGAGUGAAGCGGCAAGAGCUCAAAUUUGAAAGCUGGCUCCUUCGGGGUCCGCAUUGUAAUUUGCAGAGGAUGCUUCGGGAGCGGUCCCCAUCUAAGUGCCCUGGAACGGGCCGUCAUAGAGGGUGAGAAUCCCGUCUGGGAUGGGGUGCCCGCGCCCGUGUGAAGCUCCUUCGACGAGUCGAGUUGUUUGGGAAUGCAGCUCUAAUUGGGUGGUAAAUUUCAUCUAAAGCUAAAUAUUGGCCGGAGACCGAUAGCGCACAAGUAGAGUGAUCGAAAGAUGAAAAGCACUUUGAAAAGAGAGUUAAACAGCACGUGAAAUUGUUGAAAGGGAAGCGCUUGCGAUCAGACUCGCCCGCGGGGUUCAGCCGGCAUUCGUGCCGGUGUACUUCCCCGUGGGCGGGCCAGCGUCGGUUUGGGCGGCCGGUCAAAGGCCCCUGGAAUGUAACGCCUCUCGGGGCGUCUUAUAGCCAGGGGUGCCAUGCGGCCUGCCCGGACCGAGGAACGCGCUUCGGCUCGGACGCUGGCAUAAUGGUCGUAAGCGACCCGUCUUGAAACACGGACCAAGGAGUCUAACAUCUACGCGAGUGUUCGGGUGUCAAACCCGUGCGCGCAGUGAAAGCGAACGGAGGUGGGAACCCCCCGGGGUGCACCAUCGACCGAUCCUGAUGUCUUCGGAUGGAUUUGAGUAAGAGCGUAGCUGUUGGGACCCGAAAGAUGGUGAACUAUGCCUGAAUAGGGCGAAGCCAGAGGAAACUCUGGUGGAGGCUCGCAGCGGUUCUGACGUGCAAAUCGAUCGUCAAAUUUGGGUAUAGGGGCGAAAGACUAAUCGAACCAUCUAGUAGCUGGUUCCUG